rnacentral:rRNA from 1 species
AGGGUUUGAUCAUGGCUCAGAACGUACGCUGGCGGCACGCCUAACACAUGCAAGUCGAACGAAGUAGCAAUACUUAGUGGCAGACGGGUGAGUAACAUGUAGGUAUCUGCCCUUUGGCCUGGAAUAACACGAGGAAACUUGUGCUAAUACCGGAUAUGUCUUUACGGAGAAAGCUUUAUGCACCAUUGGAUGAGCCUGCACUUGAUUAGUUUGUUGGUGGGGUAAUGGCCUACCAAGACUGUGAUCAAUAGCUGAUUUGAGAGGAUGAUCAGCCACAUUGGGACUGAGACACGGCCCAAACUCCUACGGGAGGCAGCAGUGGGGAAUCUUGCACAAUGGAGGAAACUCUGAUGCAGCGAUGCCGCGUGAGUGAAGAAGGCCCUUGGGUUGUAAAGCCCUUUCGUCGGGGAAGAAAACGACUGUACCCGAAUAAGAAGGUCCGGCUAACUUCGUGCCAGCAGCCGCGGUAAUACGAAGGGACCUAGCGUAGUUCGGAAUUACUGGGCUUAAAGAGUUCGUAGGUGGUUGAAAUAGUUGGUGGUGAAAUCCCAGAGCUUAACUCUGGAACUGCCAUCAAAACUUUUCAGCUAGAGUAUGAUAGAGGAAAGCAGAAUUUCUAGUGUAGAGGUGAAAUUCGUAGAUAUUAGAAAGAAUACCAAUUGCGAAGGCAGCUUUCUGGAUCAUUACUGACACUGAGGAACGAAAGCAUGGGUAGCGAAGAGGAUUAGAUACCCUCGUAGUCCAUGCCGUAAACGAUGUGUGUUAGACGUUGGAAAUUUAUUUUCAGUGUCGCAGGGUAACCGAUAUACACACCGCCUGGGGAGUACGACCGCAAGGUUAAAACUCAAAUGAAUUGACGGGGGCCCGCACAAGUAGUGGAGCAUGUGGUUUAAUUCGAAGAUACGCGCAGAACCUUACCAACACUUGACAUGUUCGUCGCGACUCUAAGAGAUUAGAGCUUUCGGUUCGGCCGGACGAAACACAGGUGCUGCAUGGCUGUCGUCAGCUCGUGUCGUGAGAUGUUGGGUUAAGUCCCGCAACGAGCGCAACCCUCACUUUUAGUUGCCAUCAUUAAGUUGGGCACUCUGAAAGAACUGCCAGUGAUAAGCUGGAGGAAGGUGGGGAUGACGUCAAGUCCUCAUGGCCCUUACGUGUUGGGCUACACACGUGCUACAAUGGUAUCUACAACAGGAAGCAAGACUGCGAAGUUAAGCAAAUCCCUAAAAGAUACCUCAGUUCGGAUUGCACUCUGCAACUCGAGUGCAUGAAGCUGGAAUUACUAGUAAUCGUGGAUCAGCGUGCCACGGUGAAUGCGUUCCCGGGUCUUGUACACACCGCCCGUCACACCAUGGGAGUUGGUUCUACCUUAAGGCAAGGUUUUAAACCCUUGACCACGGUAUAGUCAGCGACUGGGGUGAAGUCGUAACAAGGUAGCCA